GCUUCCGUGGCGCAAUGGUUAGCGCGUUCGGCUGUUAACCGAAAGGUUGGGAGUUCGAGUCUCCCCGGGAGCG
rfam:Nosema bombycis CQ1 unplaced genomic scaffold NBO_464, whole genome shotgun sequence.